AUGAAAACAUUAAUGGCUUAAGAUUUUUAAAAACUAUUUAUCCCUUGUACCAGGCAGCCUGACCCUGACCUGAAGUAAAUUCCCAGGAGAGUUUUUUCCCUGGGUUUUGCAUUUGCAGUAAUAGGUGUGAACAUUCUAGCAGCAGUCUGAUGAUCAAGUAUGAUACUGCAAACAGGA
ensembl:scaRNA